rnacentral:rRNA from 1 species
UCAGAUUGAACGCUGGCGGCAUGCUUUACACAUGCAAGUCGAACGGCAGCGAGGAGAAGCUAGCUUCUCUGUCGGCGAGUGGCGAACGGGUGAGUAUAGCAUCGGAACGUGCCAAGUAGUGGGGGAUAACCAAACGAAAGUUUGGCUAAUACCGCGUAAGCUCCAAGGAGGAAAGUAGGGGACCUAAAUAAGGCCUUACGCUAUUUGAUCGGCCGAUGUCGGAUUAGUUAGUUGGUGGGGUAAUGGCUCACCAAGGCAAUGAUCCGUAGCGGGUCUGAGAGGACGAUCCGCCACACUGGGACUGAGACACGGCCCAGACUCCUACGGGAGGCAGCAGUGGGGAAUUUUGGACAAUGGGGGAAACCCUGAUCCAGCCAUGCCGCGUGUAUGAAGAAGGCCUUAGGGUUGUAAAGUACUUUUGUUAGGGAAGAAAAGCUAGUUUUUAAUAAAAAUUAGUGAUGACGGUACCUAAAGAAUAAGCACCGGCUAACUACGUGCCAGCAGCCGCGGUAAUACGUAGGGUGCAAGCGUUAAUCGGAAUUAUUGGGCGUAAAGCGAGUGCAGACGGUUACUUAAGCCAGAUGUGAAAUCCCCAAGCUUAACUUGGGACGUGCAUUUGGAACUGGGUGACUAGAGUGUGUCAGAGGGAGGUAGAAUUCCACAUGUAGCGGUGGAAUGCGUAGAGAUGUGGAGGAAUACCGAUGGCGAAGGCAGCCUCCUGGGAUAACACUGACGUUGAGGCUCGAAAGCGUGGGGAGCAAACAGGAUUAGAUACCU